CCACGAAUCAGCACCCUGGACAGCGCCUCAAGAGAUCAGCACCAAGGUCUGGGGCACCGACGAGCCAGAGGUCAGUGGCGGAGUAACAGGGACUCCUCGAGGCAACUAGCAGACCGGUUUACAACCUGAUGACAGCGGGGACGGCCAAUCACACGAGCAACAGCAGAGCCAAUGGAGGAGCUGAUCGUCGUCCCUCCUGAGCGUAAAUACUCCGUCUGGAUCGGCGGCUCCUUCUCCACCUUCCAGCAGAUGUGGAUCAGCAAGCAGGAGGACGAGGCCGCUCACAGCAUCGUGCACCGCGAGUGCUUCUAAGGCGCUUUUCAGAC